UACGGAGGGUGCGAGCGUUGUUCGGAAUCACUGGGCGUAAAGGGCGUGUAGGCGGUCCGCUAAGUCUGAUGUGAAAGCCCGGGGCUCACCCCCGGAAGGGCAUUGGAAACUGACGGACUCGAGUCCCGAAGAGGAGGGUGGAAGUUCCUGGUGUGAGCGGUGAAAUGCGUAGAUAUCAGGAGGAACACCGGUGGCGAAGGCGGCCCUCUGGACGGUGACUGACGCUGAGACGCGAAAGCGUGGGGAGCAAACAGG
rnacentral:rRNA from 1 species